AUGGAAACCCACGCCGACGGCGGCAACCCUGUUCCGACGAAGCCGGCGAUGGACGAACCACGCACCAGCGCCGAUGUCGCUGAAGUCCCGUCCUUCGCCGGCCCCGACGCGCUCCCCGUCCCCCAGCCGGGCGCGAGGAAGCGGAAGGCCCCGGCGACGGCGACGGCGAAGGCUGUCAGGAAGGCUCACAAGCCACAGGUUGAGGAGCCGAUUCAGAUGCCUGUGUACUAUGGAUGUAGAUCACCGUUUUCCCGCGUGCGUGGCAACGAUUUAGAAAACAAAUGCGCUCACUUAAUCGGCGAGCUACCGCUGCAGCCACAGUCCAUGUCAUUGGUGGAUCUACAGCUCUGGAUCUUCAGGCUGUUCCGGCUCCAUCCAGAAACACAAGAUCUCGAUAUCAAGGGGUUCCUCAAGCAACGCAAAACUGAUUUCUUUGACGAAGAGUCCUCCGAACCGGACUGUUGUUUGGAGGACUACCCAUGGGACAUGCAUGAAUUUCUGACUGACAAAUGCUGGAGCUCCUUUGCAAAUAAAUUGAAGAGAAAAAAAAUGUGA
rnacentral:rRNA from 1 species